AGCUUUGCGCAGUGGCAGUAUCGUAGCCAAUGAGGUUUAUCCGAGGCGCGAUUAUUGCUAAUUGAAAACUUUUCCCCAAAAUAAUAUGGACUAAUGGGUGGUUAGAAAAAUGGAGAGAUCAUAGAUAUGGUAUUAAGACAAAUAUAGUAAAAUAUU
rnacentral:snRNA from 1 species